AUUAUGGUCAUAUGCAGCUACUCCUAUAUUUUCGGAUUCCUAAAAGAAAUGAGGAAUAUAGGGAGAAAAUGCCAGCCUGGAAAUCAACAAUCAGGAUCUAAUUCAUCUGUGACAUCACCAGAGAUAGUACAUUGUGGGAAAAGAGCAACCUUUGAAAACCAACACAACUAAAUUAUCAGUUGUGUGAUUUGGGUGAGUUAUUUGCCAUUCCUGAACCUAAGCUUCCUCAAUGGUACAAUAAGACAAUCCUCACAGAGUUGUAAAGAUUAAAUAAUCUGCGUGAGGCACAGUGCCUGGCACAGAGGAAGCACUCAAUUAAUUUUACUCUCCCCACUCCCUUUCUUUUU
rnacentral:lncRNA from 1 species